UACGUAGGGCGCAAGCGUUAUCCGGAAUUAUUGGGCGUAAAGAGCUCGUAGGCGGUUUGUCGCGUCUGCCGUGAAAUCCCCGUGGCUCAACCAUGGACGUGCAUCCGAAACUGCGAGGCUUGAGUAUGGAAGAGGGUCGCGGAAUUCCCGGUGUAGAGGUGAAAUUCGUAGAUAUCGGGAGGAACACCAGUGGCGAAGGCAAUCCCCUGGGCCUGCACUGACGCUCAUGCACGAAAGCGUGGGGAGCAAACAGG
rnacentral:rRNA from 1 species